rnacentral:rRNA from 1 species
GACGAACGCUGGCGGCGUGCUUAACACAUGCAAGUCGAACGCUGAAGCCCCAGCUUGCUGGGGUGGAUGAGUGGCGAACGGGUGAGUAACACGUGAGUAACCUGCCCAUCACUCUGGGAUAAGCGCUGGAAACGGCGUCUAAUACUGGAUACGAGCAGCGACCGCAUGGUCAGCUGCUGGAAAGACUGGUUCGGUGAUGGAUGGACUCGCGGCCUAUCAGCUUGUUGGUGAGGUAAUGGCUCACCAAGGCGACGACGGGUAGCCGGCCUGAGAGGGUGACCGGCCACACUGGGACUGAGACACGGCCCAGACUCCUACGGGAGGCAGCAGUGGGGAAUAUUGCACAAUGGGCGCAAGCCUGAUGCAGCAACGCCGCGUGAGGGAUGACGGCCUUCGGGUUGUAAACCUCUUUUAGUAGGGAAGAAGCCUUCGGGUGACGGUACCUGCAGAAAAAGCACCGGCUAACUACGUGCCAGCCGCCGCGGUAAUAC